UACGUAGGGCGCAAGCGUUGUCCGGAAUUAUUGGGCGUAAAGAGCUCGUAGGCGGUUUGUCGCGUCUGCUGUGAAAUCCCGAGGCUCAACCUCGGGUCUGCAGUGGGUACGGGCAGACUGGAGUGCGGUAGGGGAGAAUGGAAUUCCUGGUGUAGCGGUGGAAUGCGCAGAUAUCAGGAGGAGCACCGAUGGCGAAGGCAGGUCACUGGGCCGCAACUGACGCUGAGGAGCGAAAGCGUGGGGAGCGAACAGG
rnacentral:rRNA from 1 species